rnacentral:rRNA from 1 species
UACGGAGGGGGCUAGCGUUGUUCGGAAUUACUGGGCGUAAAGGGCGCGUAGGCGGAUAGUUUAGUCAGAGGUGAAAGCCCAGGGCUCAACCUUGGAACUGCCUUUGAUACUGGCUAUCUUGAGUUCGGGAGAGGUGAGUGGAAUGCCGAGUGUAGAGGUGAAAUUCGUAGAUAUUCGGCGGAACACCAGUGGCGAAGGCGACUCACUGGCCCGAUACUGACGCUGAGGCGCGAAAGGCGUGGGGAGCAAACAGG